ACUCCUGUAGCCCAAUUGGAAGAGGCGGCUGUCUCAAAAACAGUCUGUGUACGGGUAUCCUUCGGGAAGCCGCUCCGCGUCUACAAAUCCCGUCAGGAGUA
rnacentral:tRNA from 1 species